GAGUUUGAUCCUGGCUCAGAUUGAACGCUGGCGGCAUGCCUUGCACAUGCAAGUCGAACGGCAGCAUGAUCUAGCUUGCUAGAUUGAUGGCGAGUGGCGAACGGGUGAGUAAUACAUCGGAACGUGCCCUGGUAGUGGGGGAUAACUAGUCGAAAGAUUAGCUAAUACCGCAUACGACCUGAGGGUGAAAGUGGGGGACCGCAAGGCCUCAUGCUAUAGGAGCGGCCGAUGUCUGAUUAGCUAGUUGGUGGGGUAAAGGCCCACCAAGGCGACGAGUCAGUAGCUGGUCUGAGAGGACGAUCAGCCACACUGGGGACUGAGACACGGCCCAGACUCCUACCGGGAGGCAGCAGUGGGGAAUUUUGGACAAUGGGCGAAAGCCUGAUCCAGCAAUGCCGCGUGUGUGAAGAAGGCCUC
rnacentral:rRNA from 1 species